rnacentral:sRNA from 1 species
UGACUUGUGGGCCCGCACGGAUAGGUACCCGGCGGC